CCCAAGGGAAGAAAGUGGGAAUCCAGGAAGAGAACUCAGAGGCGCUCUGCAGGUGCCGUGAGAACGGCAGUGAUAGCUGGACACAGCCAGACUGGGUGGCCUCAUGGGAGAACAUACACACCCGUCUCACUCUCCUUCUUCCCUCCUCCAACCCCCUGGAGGAUUCUCUAUGGGCCAAACCCAGCUGGAAGGCAGAGGAGCCCAGAACUUGAUGUGAGGUCCCCAACUGUCACCCAAGAUCAAGGUGGAGAGAGGAGGACAACAGAUCAGCAACACACGACUCCCUCCAGGGCUCCAGGUCAUGGCAAACUGGAAGAUUCCGCUGUGCACGCCUCUGCUCUCCGCUGAUCACACCCCACACUACUGCCUGGAUGCCGGGCAGCGUAAUGAACACCAAGAUAUCAGACGCAGCCCCACCUCCCGAGAGCUUUCAUUGACUCUGGAGAUGGACAGCCUCUCCAACAAUUUGCUGAGAUGAAGAGAUUUCUACGGAGUUCUUUCGGUUUAGGAACUUACAGGUUAACUCUUUACUGCUCAAGCCUUUAGACAGUCCACUCGUGCUGCUUCUGAAAAUAUAUUUGGAGCAAAGCAUUCACAACGGGGAACGAUUCAACGCACGCAGAUGUUCCUUGCAAUAGUGUUUAGAACAAAAAAUGCAGAUUGUAUGGCAAUAUGAGAAGAGUAAAAAUUACAGUGUUAAAUGAAAAAACCAGGAUAUAAACUCAACUAUGUAGAAAUGCACAAAAGACUAGAAGGAAAUAUAUAUGACCAAUGAAAAACUCAUUAGUAUUUUUCUUCAUUUUCAAAAAUUUUCAUAUAUGUGCAUGCUGUAAUGUUUGAUGUUAGAACGUGAGCUAAGGCCCAGCAUUGUGGUGUAGCAGUUAAAACCACCAUAUGAGGCACUGGCAUCCCAUAUGGGUGCCAGUUCUAGUCCUGGCUGCUCCGCUUCUAAUCCAGCUCCCUGCUAAUGGCCUGGGAAAAGCAGCAGAAGAUGGUCCAAAUGUUUGGGCCCCUGCCGCCCCCUUGGGAUACCUGGAAGAAGCUCCUGGCUCCUGUCUUUAGCCUGGCUCAGCUCUGGCCAUUGCAGUCAUCCAGGGAGUGAACCAGCAGCUAGAAGACCUCUCUCUCUCUCUCUCUCUCUCUC